rnacentral:rRNA from 1 species
UACGAAGGGGGCUAGCGUUGCUCGGAAUCACUGGGCGUAAAGCGCACGUAGGCGGACUCUUAAGUCGGUGGUGAAAUCCUGGAGCUCAACUCCAGAACUGCCUCCGAUACCGCGAGUCUCCGAGUCCGGGAGAGGUGAGUGGAACUGCGAGUGUAGAGGUGAAAUUCGUAGAUAUUCGCAAGAACACCAGUGGCGAAGGCGGCUCACUGGCCCGGUACUGACGCUGAGGUGCGAAAGCGUGGGGAGCGAACAGG